GAUGAACGCUGGCGGCGUGCCUAAUACAUGCAAGUCGAGCGAACAGACGAGGAGCUUGCUCCUCUGACGUUAGCGGCGGACGGGUGAGUAACACGUGGAUAACCUACCUAUAAGACUGGGAUAACUUCGGGAAACCGGAGCUAAUACCGGAUAACAUGUUGAACCGCAUGGUUCAACAGUGAAAGACGGUCUUGCUGUCGCUUAUAGAUGGAUCCGCGCCGCAUUAGCUAGUUGGUAAGGUAACGGCUUACCAAGGCAACGAUGCGUAGCCGACCUGAGAGGGUGAUCGGCCACACUGGAACUGAGACACGGUCCAGACUCCUACGGGAGGCAGCAGUAGGGAAUCUUCCGCAAUGGGCGAAAGCCUGACGGAGCAACGCCGCGUGAGUGAAGAAGGUCUUCGGAUCGUAAAACUCUGUUAUUAGGGAAGAACAAAUAUGUAAGUAACUAUGCACGUCUUGACGGUACCUAAUCAGAAAGCCACGGCUAACUACGUG
rnacentral:rRNA from 1 species